GACGAACGCUGGCGGCGUGCCUAAUACAUGCAAGUAGAACGCUGAAGGAGGAGCUUGCUUCUCUGGAUGAGUUGCGAACGGGUGAGUAACGCGUAGGUAACCUGCCUGGUAGCGGGGGAUAACUAUUGGAAACGAUUGCUAAUACCGCAUAAGAGUAGAUGUUGCAUGACAUUUACUUAAAAGGUGCAAUUGCAUCACUACCAGAUGGACCUGCGUUGUAUUAGCUAGUUGGUGAGGUAACGGCUCACCAAGGCAACGAUACAUAGCCGACCUGAGAGGGUGAUCGGCCACACUGGGACUGAGACACGGCCCAGACUCCUACGGGAGGCAGCAGUAGGGAAUCUUCGGCAAUGGACGGAAGUCUGACCGAGCAACGCCGCGUGAGUGAAGAAGGGUUUCGGAUCGUAAAGCUCUGUUGUAAGAGAAGAACGAGUGUGAGAGUGGAAAGUUCACACUGUGACGGUAUCUUACCAGAAAGGGACGGCUAACUACGUG
rnacentral:rRNA from 1 species